UACGAAGGGGGCUAGCGUUGCUCGGAAUCACUGGGCGUAAAGCGCACGUAGGCGGAUUGUUAAGUCAGGGGUGAAAUCCUGGAGCUCAACUCCAGAACUGCCUUUGAUACUGGCGAUCUCGAGUCCGGGAGAGGUGAGUGGAACUGCGAGUGUAGAGGUGAAAUUCGUAGAUAUUCGCAAGAACACCAGUGGCGAAGGCGGCUCACUGGCCCGGUACUGACGCUGAGGUGCGAAGGUCAGGGGAGCAAAGCGGG
rnacentral:rRNA from 1 species